GACAGAGGAUGCAAGCGUUAUCCGGAAUGAUUGGGCGUAAAGCGUCUGUAGGUGGCUUUUCAAGUCCGCCGUCAAAUCCCAGGGCUCAACCCUGGACAGGCGGUGGAAACUGCCAAGCUGGAGUACGGUAGGGGCAGAGGGAAUUUCCGGUGGAGCGGUGAAAUGCGUAGAGAUCCGGAAGAACACCAGUGGCGAAGGCGGCUCACUGGCCCGGUACUGACGCUGAGGCACGAAAGCGUGGGGAGCAAACAGG
rnacentral:rRNA from 1 species